rnacentral:rRNA from 1 species
GACGAACGCUGGCGGCGUGCCUAAUACAUGCAAGUCGAACGCACUCUCGUUUAGAUUGAAGGAGCUUGCUCCUGAUUGAUAAACAUUUGAGUGAGUGGCGGACGGGUGAGUAACACGUGGGUAACCUGCCCUAAAGUGGGGGAUAACAUUUGGAAACAGAUGCUAAUACCGCAUAAAACCUAACACCGCAUGGUGUAGGGUUGAAAGAUGGUUUCGGCUAUCACUUUAGGAUGGACCCGCGGUGCAUUAGUUAGUUGGUGAGGUAAAGGCUCACCAAGACCGUGAUGCAUAGCCGACCUGAGAGGGUAAUCGGCCACACUGGGACUGAGACACGGCCCAGACUCCUACGGGAGGCAGCAGUAGGGAAUCUUCCACAAUGGACGAAAGUCUGAUGGAGCAACGCCGCGUGAGUGAAGAAGGUUUUCGGAUCGUAAAACUCUGUUGUUGGAGAAGAAUGUAUCUGAUAGUAACUGUAUCGAGUAGUGACGGUAUCCAACCAG